AUUGAACGCUGGCGGCAUGCCUUACACAUGCAAGUCGAACGGCAGCAUGGAGAGCUUGCUCUCUGAUGGCGAGUGGCGAACGGGUGAGUAAUGCAUCGGAACGUACCGUGUAAUGGGGGAUAACGUAGCGAAAGUUACGCUAAUACCGCAUACGACCUGAGGGUGAAAGCAGGGGAUCGCAAGACCUUGCGUUAUACGAGCGGCCGGUGUCAGAUUAGCUAGUUGGUGAGGUAAAGGCUCACCAAGGCGACGAUCUGUGGCGGGUCUGAGAGGAUGAUCCGCCACAACGGGACUGCGACACGGCCCAGGCUCCUCCGGGAGGCAGCAGUGGGGAAUUUUGGACAAUGGGGGCAACCCUGAUCCAGCCAUGCCGCGUGAGUGAAGAAGGCCUUCGGGUUGUAAAGCUCUUUCGGCCGGGAAGAAAUCGCACAGGCUAAUACUCUGUGUGGAUGACGGUACCGGCAUGAGAAGCACCGGCUAACUACGUGCCAGCCGCCGCGGUAA
rnacentral:rRNA from 1 species